ensembl:lncRNA
AGACGGACCACCUCUAAAAUACAAGGUGUGUUUAAUCCAUAAUCACACACAGAGACAUAAAGACCAUCGUGGCAAAAGAAAGAGUGAGUGCGUUACAACUGUAAUGCAUUUCAACGUCUGUAUAAGUGUCACCAUAACAACGGUCUACACGUGUACAAACGAGAGGUGCAUCUUCUCGAGUUCAGUGAACUUGUGACUGGGGGGUUGAGAGCUGGAUUCUUUUGGUAAACUGGAGAAAUGACAGAUAUCCAUGUACCGACUUUGGAAACAGCAAGGAAACAACAUUUUGGAUGUUUCACCACUGUUUGUAGCCUCUAACAGUGGAGACUGGUGGGGGCACAGAGACAACUUACAGGUGUUAAAGGAGAAGUGGAGGGGAGGGACGCUCCCAUGUUUUACUCCCCUGCAGGCAGACUUCCCCACACUGCAGUAAAAGCUCAGAUACAGACGCUGUGCUGCACAGAGGGAAAGUGUGGGACAGAUGGAGAGGUAAUCAGGAGCAUCCAUCCUCUCUUCUCUACAUUUUCCUCUUCCUACUUCCUCCCUGCUUUCUUUCUCCUGUGUAGUUAAAGGGAGGCUUUCAUGUUUUGUUUCUGGGAGAACAGGAAGAAGAGAAAUACAGAGCUCUGUAUCAGGGAGGUAUAGAGCUGGAGUCAGAACUCCAAGCACAGUGACUGGUGGUGGAAACAGAAGCUUGCACAUGUAUUCAAAUCUUUCAUAUCUGAGUUUAGUUUAAAUGUAGAAAACCAGGAUACAUUUCUGACGGGUUAUACAUUAGUUUUACUCAUUUACAUUAUUAUAAUAAUACUUUGAUUUAAAGGUAAAGCAGUUUCUCGUGUGUGGAGCCUGUCUCAGUGAGCAGGCUGGUGACAUCAGGACUAAUCGGGGAAGAUUAGUGUUUUUUUGUUUUUCAAACAGAUGUGUUUGUCAUUUGUAACUGACAUUUCAGAGCUGAAAGAAAGACUGACUGAGAGUGCUUCCUGGGUUAAAAUGCCCAUAGAAGUGAUCAUCUAUAUAAAACUAAAAGCUACGAUGGCCAAGCUGACUUUAGAUUGGUUUCCCCUACAGAAGAAUAAUUUUGAAGUGGUUUGUGGCUGUGGUUGUUUCUAGUUUCUACUGGGACCAAUCCGAACUUUCUGUUCGCUAAGCUUAACUUAGUGGCUUAGUGAACUAAUAUGUCUGUGAAGGUUCUCAGUCCUCCAGGUCAUCGUAGUCUAAGGAGCUUGGAAAGAAAAGCGUCUGGGCUUCUUUAAGUUGCUUGAAGACGUUUCACCUCUCAUCCGAGAAGCCUCAAGACAUGCUUCCCCCACACUGGAUCCUCACCAAUGCUGUACCCACAGGAUGCUGUACCCACAGGAUGCUGUACCCACAGCGCUUCACUGUGUACUCUCACACCUGGACAACAAGAAUACAUAAGCAAGAAUGCUGUUGGCUUCAUGUGGAAACAGAAAAUGGGCACAAGAACAGUUUAAGGGAGGAAAGAGUUUGAUAUAGUUCGGGUCACUCCCUUGGUGAGGAAUGUCAAAUGGAUGAGAGUGACAGCGAGUAAGAGAAGAUCCCAGAAUGAUGUCUAAAGAACAGUUAGGAGAUCGUGUGUGUCUGUGUGUGUCUUUAGAGGACACUGUGAUGUAAGGAGCCAGGAUGUCGUUCCACGCAGAGCCGUCAGACACAGACACACAGAAACUUGUACAACUGCAGAUACGGAUGUAUGCGUCAUGCGUGGUGUCACACAGGUGUAUUAGCCCAGGCACAGACCUGAGCCACAGCCAAGUCAUUCAUAAACAAAUCAUCUGCUGAUGGGAAAGUUAGUGUUUGGUGGUCUGUGUGCCAAAGUAUUCCUGAACCCAGUUUGCUUCACUGGAGUGUGAAUGUAGGAAGUGCUAUAAAAAGCAGUCUAUUAUUUCAUUGUUACUAAACACUUAUAUGAAAACCAGCUUGUUUGUUAAAAUAAAAAUUUUGAAC